UACAAAUACAUGCCAAUUAGAAAAAAUAAAAUUAAUAUUUAAAAAACAGAUGCUAUAAUUUUCUAGAUCUAUUGAGAUAAUCUGUUUUCUUUCUUUUUACUCUCCAACUAUGGAAAAAUACAGUGAUGACUUUUUAAAUGUUGAACCACCCUUAUAAUUCUACAAUAACACAAACUUGGUCAUGUUUUGGGGUUUUUUUCUUAUAGAAUUCACCAAUGAAUCUAUGUGCCACUGUAGUUUUUUAUCUUAUUUUCACUGUUUUUUUAAAAUGUAGAAUUAGUAUUGUUUUACCUACAAACUAUAUUUUUAGUAGAUAUAUGAGGCUAUUAAUAUUGUAUAAUUCUUUUAUAGUGAUUUUUGUCUUAUUAAGAAUUUUAAAAUGCAAAUAUAAACCAUGGUAAAUUUUAUUACAAUUAUUUUGAAGUCAGAGGCAGGAUUAAAGUUUUUCUGAAUGCAAAGAAUAUCCUCUAAUAUCAUACACAGAAUGGCUUGGAAAUUAGAUUGUGCUUUUAACUCUAUAAUGUUUCUUUAUGAGUUCAGUCUAAAAUUAUAAGUCAAAUCACUGAGGGAUGAACCUUAUAAUACACCAAAGUCACAAAUAAUGUUUUUUGAAUAACAACGAUAUCAGCUGCUUUAUAUAAUUCCUGUACUGUCUAAUGUUCAUGCAAAAGGCAAGAACCUUAAUACCACACAAAUUUUCAACAAAAAUCAUUUUGACUCUUGUGAGAAUUCACUCAAGGAGACCAAUAUUCCCUUCCAGAGACAGGUCCCCAGUGAGCUAACGACAUCCUACUAGACCUCACAACUUAAAGGGUCCACCACCUCCCAAUACUACAGCCAAGUUCCUAAUGGAAGAACCUCUGGGGAGAAAGACAACACCAAAACCAUAAUAAAAUCUAUUGCCAGUUUUUAUUUAGGUUUGUGUUAUUUGUUUGUUUGCUUUGCUCUUGAGUUGUCGGAGUUCCUAAUGUGGUAUAGACAUCAGCCCCUUGUCCAGUGAAUAGCUUGAGAAGACUUUCUCCCAUUCUGUAAGUUGUCUUUAGGCUGUUGAUUGUUCCAUUUGCUGUGCUGAAACUUUACAGUUUGAUGCAAUGCUGUUUGUCUAGUUUUGCUUUUGUUGCCUGUGCUUGAGGAUCAUAUCUAAAAAACUUCUUGUCCUGUCCAUCAUAUUUAAAUAUUUUUUUCUUAAAUUUGUUUUGUAGUGUAGAUGGACAGAAUGCCUUUAUUUUAUUUGUUUAUUUUUAUGUGGCACUAAGGAUCGAACCCAGUGCCUCAUGCAUGCUAGGCAAGCACUCUACCACUGUGCUAAAGCCCCAACCCCAUAUUUAAGUAUUUCAUGUAUGUUUUCCUCUACAAACUUCCUAGUCUUAGGUAUUACAUUUAUGUCUGUAAUUCAUUUUGAAUUGAUAUUUUUGUGUGAUAGGAGUCAGAGAUCUGGUUUCAUUCUUCUACAUGUAAACAUCUAAUUUUCUC
rnacentral:lncRNA from 1 species